rnacentral:lncRNA from 1 species
UAUAUAUAUAUAUAUAUAUGCCUUUUUUUAAUUUUACUUUUCUUCCCUGGAACAUAUUUUACAUUAUUAGACAAAACACUACAGUUAUCAUUGAAUAAAGGGACUGGUUAUUCUGGGGAGGUUUGUAGAGCAGUAAAAGCUUUGUGUGGAUUGCAGCAUGUGCUGUUGUUUAACCCUUUAAGCCCCUGUGGUAAUGCUAUAAUAGCUUUGGAAAGUUAACAUUUUUCUGAGACCCCUUUCAGAAGGCCCUGCUCCUAUUGUAGUAUGUACAACCAGUGCUAGUAAUGGUAUAAUACAAUUGCAAACGGUUGGUUAGUGCACCGAAUGCAUGUUUUAUGUAUUCCUAUUGACAAUUUAAUUGUAAAAAAUAGGUUUUGUCAUUUAAGUAGCCCAUGAGGCAUUGUUCAGAAGGGCUUACAUGCAAAACAUAGAUUAUUUGCUAGGUCUGUCCCAGCCGGGCUUGCAAGAUCCACCAUUUUUUUUUUUUUUCAUGGAUACACCAGGGCACAGAUUUCCAUUUGUUGCCUACAAACGUAAAGACAUUAUGCGUCCAAGAAAACAUAGUGGAUCUGGUAACAGGGAUCCUGGGCCAAUCGAUAAAAUGUAUGGGGAUAGCAUAAAAUAUGUUUUAUUGGGCAGCAAGCCUCUGCUCCAUACCGGUGUGAUUUGUAACUUUAUUUUCUUACAAAUAAUAGACACACAGUUGCCAUUUUUACAUCUUCCUGUGGCAACAUUGUACAUUGGUAACCUCAUGUUUUAAUGGGAGUUUUAGUAUUACCAGCUCUCACACACAGUGGCACACGUUUAUUUUACUGAGCACAGUUCUGCAGAUUUGUCUCCUGGGAGAGUCGCUAUCAUUGCUAAUCUGGUUUGGAAACGGAUACAUGUGUGUUUCUUUAAAAUGGGGGGAAAAAACUAAGAUGCAAGAAUUCAAAGUGUACAACACCGAAAACUCCUCUAGAACACUAAAAUCUGAUGCAGUAUAAAGGGCAUUCUCGCCCUCCAUUGCCAGACAUGCUACAACGUGUCUGAGGUAAUGGGGUGGGUGAAACUGGAGUACUUCAAGUUAAUGGAAGCGAAUAAUCAGAUUUCUUGUUACUUUAGCGAUGUUAUGACACAGAAGCCCUUUCAUUAGGAUCUCCUAAAAACGUGAAUGGCAGAUGUACAACAUACUAGACGAAAGGCUGCGGACUCUUCUGUGGCACUUAUGUGGUUAAAAGUACAGUAGCAUUUUACAGUGAAAGUGGGGCUGGCAAUGCAUUUUUUCUUUAAAGCUGUGAGGUUUACUAGAACCAAGUCUUUAUAUACUUAAAACAGAAUUGUAACUUAUCGAAAUUUUUAAUAUUAUGUUUAACUUGUCCUCUUUAGCAAAUGUGUACCUUGUGAGGUUUUAAAAAAAAACCAACAUCUCGCAUAGGGGGGGAAAUAAAUUUAUCCUAGAACUCAGCACCUCUGUCUUGGCUCCAUACCAGUCAUUGUUCCAGUCUCUGCUAUUAAAAAAAUUGAAACAUUUCAGACCUAAAUAACAUUUAUUAAACAACUUCGUGGAGGCAGCCAUGCUGAAUGACCAGGACUAAUUGGAGGAAGAGAAACCAUAUUUCUAUUCCUCUUCCCCGAAUGCAAAGUGUGCCCUGCCUGUGCCUGAAUUGAACUGGAUUGUGAUAUCCCUUACUAAAUCUUUAAUGUACAUUUAAAAGAAAAUUAUUUAUAAAGGACUUUUUAGGGUUUCAUUCAGGGCUGUAGUUUUUAUAGACUAACUUUUUAAAGUGUACUUUUUGUGGAACUAUGACUUUCUCGGAAUAUUUCAUCGCUAAGUUGUGCUAGCCACAUUUCUGGCAAAUAUGCCUAGAUUAAAUUUUCUUAUUAACUUCGGUUUGUCAGGAUUUGCCAACAACAAAUAUGGUGGUUGCAGUACCUGUCUGCGUCCGCAUGCUCCCACAAUGCAAAGCAAGUUUUCAUUCAACAAGUAUUUCACGGUGUCUCACUCUCUUCUUUCCAGGAGUAUAUGUAUCUGCAGUUCAGUGCAGGAGUUAAACUUGAGGUUUUAGUGUUACAUUUAAUCUUUUUAGUUGGCGAUAGAGGAAAAAAUCCAAUUUGAAGAUUGGUUAAAAUUCUUUACUCCAGUUCACACUAGUUUCACUCCCCAGUAGUAAGUGAAACUGUUUAGUAGUAAACUAGUAAGUGAAAGUGUUUCUAGGGUUUAUUUAACUAAUUAACAAGCAGUGGAGCUGACAUGGGAUUUAAUUGUCCAAUUCAGAUGUUUUAACCCAUAUUUUGCAAGUUCGAACAAUUAGAAUGCUUCCCAAGACUUUAGGUGGGAUAGUUCUAGUUUCUGGGUCCUGUCCCAGGAUUGUUCCCUUGAGUCCUGAAAUUGGGGACACUAGGGAGUUGUCACCAGCAGAUUCAGCAUUUGAUGCUCUACCCACAAUGCACUCUGGGCUCUCUGCACGUGCGACCCAUAGUGAGCAUGGAAUGCUUGAUUUCGGGUCAUCCUCGCAUGGUAUGGCCCCCGCCUAUCCCCUUCUCGGUUUCAUACCUUCCAUUCUAGAAAGGUCUGAUUUCAUUUGAUACCAAUUGUAACAUUACUUUAUCUUGACGUGGAGAUUUAUUAUGAAGUCUAAAUAUGUAAUAUAUCUUUUGGGAUUCUUGAAAUUAGAUCAUCAACAACAAAAAUAAAAUAAACAAACAGAACUUGAUUUAACUUUUUUUGUAAACCUUUUUACAAUGCAGCUGUGAAUAUCCAGUCAAGAUUUCAAAACCUAAAGAAGCUACAGGGAUCGAUCAUUUCGUUUCUGGAAUAGUUUACGGCACCUUUUAUAAGGGUAUAUUGGUUGAUUUUAGGCUAUUUUAGCUCAAUAGUAAUAUAUACAUAAUUAAAAAAAAAAAAUAAAUAUCUAAAUGGGAGGAAAAGUGGAACCCAAUGUGAUAUUCGGUAAAUGUGUAUUUUAAUAUGGACUAUAUUUUUCUAUGUACUGUCUGGCUAUUUGAUAGGAUUAAAAUGAUAAUAAAGUUGCCACCACCACCAUUUACCUCUUUAUUUUGGAUUAAUUUAAAUGUUUUGCUUGAAAAUUGCAAUUUUAAUAUGGCAGUUUAUUCUUUUAUAAUUUAUUUCCUAAAAUGCUAAUUUUUCAUAUUUAGGAAGUAGUAACCACAAUCGUACCAAACCAGGUCACAUGCUUGUGUGCUUUGUUACUUCAGCCGGUUGAAAGUUUAUCAGAUUUGUAGAUGUUAAUGAUUUGCCUGGUGAUACCGGUCACAGUAUAACUAAUUUUCCCAAUGUUCUAUUCUUGAUUAAAGCAAGGUUUUAUAAAAAUUGGCGCAUGCACUUAUUCUAAAAAUGAAACCUUUCAAACACGGCAAAUGAGCUUCUGCAAAUCCUUUCUUGUCUAAAUAGCUAGUCCUCCUGUACGAUAAUUAAAAAUACAAAUAUUUUAAUAAACUAUCCAUCCUAAGUCCUGCUGUGCAUUUUGAGAACCACUUAUAUAAUAAGUGUUUUAACUCCGUGCCAUUUUGAUUCAUGAUUUAACAAUAGUUAGUUUUUAGACCAUUUCUAGUACUGGAGAUCUAUGCGCAAUAAUGCUUAUAAAUACCGUUCACUGGGACUAUUAGGAGUCAUACUUUCAAGUUAAGACUACCUGAUGUGUAUGUCAUAUAUUGCAGAUUAGGGAUCUUGCCACCUCUUUCACGGUUGUCUUCAUGCACAUCAUCCUACUUGCCAAAACUAUAUGGGGGAAUAGGAGCUUUUCUUUGAGGAUUAGUGGAAUGGGUUAUUUAAUAAAAUGUGUGUGUUUAAAUGUAGGGGCCCAAGGAAAGAAAUUGUGUUUAUAUAAAACAUUCUAGUACACUGGUAAUGGCAGACCAGAAGGCAGAGUCUCUUGCAAUUGUAUUAUGGUACCAAUAUUGAAGUGAAGACUAGAUUGCAUUUAAAUACACACCUAAGCUCCCUAACUACUCUAAUAUUGUUCCCAAUUCCAGUACAGCUAUGUUCAAAUGUACCAUAUUACAACAGGAACAAUUGUAAAUUACGAUAUCCUUUCUGGAAUAAAUUUUUUUAAACAUUCUAAUAAAAAAAAGAAUCUACAAAAAAUAUCUGGAUUUCUAUUUAUAAAAAUACUUGAAGGCAAAUUGCAAUAUAGUUGGCGAACAAAGAAAUGGACAGCAUGGCUGUGUGCGACACCACUAGCUGGUGGUUUAUCAAGGCUGCAACAUGCAGCUCUACUGUUGGCAUAUAGUAAAAAAAAAUAAUAAUAAACAUGAGCUGUUUUUCUUUAAGUUGACUUGUUAUCCACAACUGUGUGAGUGACCAGAUCUUUUUCAGACACUCCUGAAAUUUAGUCUAUAUGAUUUACUUGGGGAAACUUAUGCAAAUGCAUAUAUUAAAUGUUCUCUGCUAACCCACUUGGACCCAAGACAUCUCUUUUUGAAUGCAUGAACACGCUGCUGAUUUAAAAUGCCAAACAUAUGACAUCUUGCAAAACGUGAAACACGAGUUAGCACUAGGUAUUAUGUUGUCCACCAACUGCAGCUGCUAAUUUAUUGUAGUUUAGAUCUCCAUACUGACCAAUUGGUAUAAACUACAAAUCUAUCCGACCACAGUAUAAAAAUAAAAUGCAUGUAUUAAGAAAUGCCAUUGGGUCAUACUAGUUUAGUAGUGAAGUUAAAUGAGCAAUCCUUUUUGUUCAGUAUCCAUCAGUUGUGUAAGGCUCUUUUAGAGAAACUGUCACUUCAGCAUUCAUUAAAAAAUUACUAGGUGCUGGUUUUACUUAUAAUUUAAAAUAUUAUUUCUGGGUUUUGUUUUGUAUUUUUUGAAAUCUUAUUUAGGUCAGAAGCCUGUUUUUUGUUUUUUUGUUUUUUUUUAAUUAAUGCAUUUAACUGAGGUGAGGUAAAAUGGACUCUAGUACCACCAACAAAAUGGUGGCAUUUCCUCUUUAAGUGAUUAAUGGGGAAAAAGUUUUUUUUUUUUGUAAAAGAUUAUAUUGAAAAUAGCCAAAUAAUUUUUGUAUUAUAAAAAUAAAAUAUUUAUAUAAAUAUAUCUUUUAAGCAGUUAUAGUAUACUAGCAUUGUACAAUCUGAACAUUAUGAGGUAGUUGGGGACUGGCUUAUCUGAAUGUUGGCAUUUCUGUUCCUGCCAUAAUUACUCCUUGCAGUAAACUGCCAGCGGGUGCAUACCUUUCCCCACCCUCUGCUUGCACAUUGACAUUAAUUUUAAUAUUUUGAAGGCCACAUAGGUGAUGUCUUUGGCCCUUAAAGGGCUAGUUGUUCUGUGUUUUUAUUUUUUCAUUUUCUUUUAUUUUUUUGUAAAUCUAUGCCAUGUAAAUUUAAAUUAUGCUUUCCCAGUCCUAAUCAUAUUUGUUGCAAGAUUUUUAUUUAAUCACUGCAUUGCUGGAGUGGCAUGAUGUGCAGUGAGUUUAAGGAGUAUCAAUAGAAAAAUAAAAUUAAAAUGUAAUAAGUCUGGUGCUGAAACGUUGUGAUCCUUUUAACUCUUUUCAGUUGGCCUUGUAAUAUUUUAAUGAUCUCUCUGGGGUGAAAAGGCAUUAGUCAAGAUAUCAUUUUACCACUAACUUGGGGUUAUUUACGAAUGCGAGAAAUAUCAGAAAUUCAAACUAAAUUUAACAUUUACUUUCAAAGUUACCGAACUGGAAACAGCAGAAUUGGAGAAUUCUUCAAAUUCGGCUAUUUUGUCCUUCAAUUUAAAAUUGCAUUCAUUUUGAAUUCGAAACAAUUCUCUUUUAUGAAGUAACCCUAGAACUGUAAUGAUGGAGACAGUGCUGGAGGAAAGCAUGUUCUAGAACAGGGAUAGUCAACCUUCUGCACUACAGAUGCCGUGGACUACAUCUCCUAUAAUAUACUUACAGCCACGAUUCUGGCAAAGUAGCAGGGGGAUAUGUAGUCCACAACAUCUGGAGUGCAGAAUGUUGCCUUACCCCUUUUCUAGAAGAUUCUUGGCCUGUUCUUUGACUUGUUCUAGAAAAGGAUGGAAAUAAAAUAAAACCUCAUUUGAAUUCCAAAAAUUAGUCAAUGUAAUUUUAAUCCUCCCUUUACAUUUUAAACAAGUCUUAAUAUUUUGAUACUAGGGAUUCAUGUAUAAUGGUUUCCAAUCUGAUGCGCCACCUCAACACCCUAACCGAUAUUAAAAGAAUAUAUAUAAUACAUUUUAUUACAAAGUAUGCAUUCUUGUUUUAGUUGGUCACUCUGACAUCUCCGACACUUUUAGGUAAAAUAAAACCCUCGUCUUUUUAUCUUUCUAAAUCUCUGCUCAGGUAUGCACCCUAAAAGUUUGUUGGUGAAACUCUUUUGCCAUGGGAAAAACAAAGUCUUCAUUGGAGCAGAUUAAAAUGACACUCGUAGUGUAUUUGACAAGACAGCUAGCUUGUUUGUUACAUUCUGAUGCUAAAGUAUUUUCUCCUCACAGCAACGCCACUUCUGUAGAUACGAGCAAAGCCAUGCGAUUUAUGCCCAGAUGGCCUGUACUAGAACAUAAGUGUGUGACAAAUUACACUAUUUCCAUAUUUGGGGUUUGAUGUACUUGAAGUGACUUGUUUGAGAUGACUGCCUCUGACCAUGUCAUCCUGUGCUGGAGGUGUAAAUUCUUCCUUAAAUGGCUUAACAGGUGUUUCCUCACAGAGUAAAUAAUAUCCUUGCUUGCUCUAUGCAUCUUAGCAAUCUACUUUGUUUGGAGCCUGAAGAAGACUUAAAACUUUACAAAAAAAUGUAUCCCUUAUUCCCAAUAAUUGAGAGCCUUUAAAGCUGAACACUAAAUGAGGCCUUAUACGCCGAUUGUCUCUAAUGUUCCCCCUAUUUAAUUACAAUACAAAUUAGGGACUUUAAACUCUUUUUAAUAAAUCCCUUCUACUUUGUCUAGCCUAUUUGUUUAUGUGAAAUCUAUCAGAAGAUGCUUUGACAAACCUUUCAUUCACAAACAAAUAUGAAUUUGGGCCAAACAUGGGCACAUGGACUGUCCCAUUUCAGAGCCGCCUUGUAAAUAGGUAUAAACAGAUUUACACUCCGACGCUAAGAAAUAGGCCAUUCAAUGGACAUUUGUAACCCGGAGAAAUAAUCUAGAUUUUAUUUUUGUAUCUGUGGUAAAGGAGUGCUAAUCAGUUUUGAGUUAAAUGUAUUUUUUUUUUUUUUUUGCAAUUGCUCAAAUUAACGAAUUAAAGUGCCUAAACUGUUAUAUUCACUAUGUAACUAUAUACGUAAAAAGAUGUAAAAAAAAACUGUUGUAAUUUUUAUAAGCAUUUUUACCUCUGUGUAAAAAACAAAACAAAAAGCCUAUACAUGCAAGUCUAAUGAUGUACAUUUGAGUUAUUUACUUUUUUUUUUUAUUGUUUCUAAUAUGUAUGAUCGACGUAGUUACUGCUUUACAAUACGUACCAUGUAAAUAUAAAUACAAAAUAUAAAAAAAGUUUGUCUUAAGCUACUUUUUAUUGACGAAUCUCAAUGGUUGGUGACUCUAGAUAUAUGUAAAAAACCAUGUAAAGUAAUUUUAGGUGCCUCUCCUAUUGGCAGCGUGUACCGAAGUUGCAACAAAGUGUAAGCACUCAUGGAAAGCUAUUUUUAAAUUUUGUUUUAAUUACUCCGUACAUACACUUGUAAAUCAACCAUGCACAUUUUAUGUUGCGGUUAAAGGGAAACUGUUUGGUUUAUUUUUUUUUAUAAUCCUAUUUAACAUUAAAUAAAGUUGCCCGUAUCAUGGUA